AGGCUGCAACUCGCCUACACGAAGUCGGAAUCGCUAGUAAUCGCGGAUCAGCAUGCCGCGGUGAAUACGUUCCCGGGCCGUUGUACACACCGCCCGUCACACCAUGGGAGUUUGUAACGCCCAAAGUCGGUGGCCUAACCUUCAUGGAGGGAGCCGCCUAAGGCGGGACAGAUGAUGGGGUGAAGUCGUAACAAGGUAUC
rnacentral:rRNA from 1 species